rnacentral:rRNA from 1 species
UACGGAGGGGGCUAGCGUUGUUCGGAAUUACUGGGCGUAAAGCGCACGUAGGCGGAUUGUUAAGUCGGGGGUGAAAUCCUGGAGCUCAACUCCAGAACUGCCUUCGAUACUGGCGAUCUCGAGUUCGGGAGAGGUGAGUGGAACUGCGAGUGUAGAGGUGAAAUUCGUAGAUAUUCGCAAGAACACCGGUGGCGAAGGCGGCGACCUGGGUCGAGACUGACGCUGAGGCGCGAAAGCGUGGGGAGCAAACAGG